rnacentral:tRNA from 1 species
GUGCCCGAGGCGCUGGCGGCGCUGGCCGCCGUGCGCGGCCGGCUAAGUCGGAGCCGGGCGCCGGCCGGGAGUUCCGUCCCGACCCGGGCGGCC